rnacentral:rRNA from 1 species
UACGUAGGCAGCGAGCGUUUGUUCGGAGUUACUGGGCGUAAAGGGUGUGUAGGCGGUCUUCUAAGUCUGGUGUGAAAUCUCCCGGCUCAACUGGGAGGGUGCGCCGGAAACUGGGAGGCUAGAGUGUGGGAUGGGAGAGUGGAAUUCCUGGUGUAGCGGUGAAAUGCGUAGAUAUCAGGAGGAACACCUGUGGUGUAGACGGCUCUCUGGACCGCAACUGACGCUGAGACACGAAAGCGUGGGUAGCAAACAGG